AACCAUAGAAACCUGCGGAGUACCUGCGGAAGGAUCAUUACAGAGUUGCAAAACUCCCACAAACCAUCGCGAAUCUUACCCGUACGGUUGCCUCGGCGCUGGCGGUCCGGAAGGCCCUCGGGCCCCCGGACCCUCGGGUCCCCCGCUCGCGGGGGGCUGCCCGCCGGAGUGCCGAAACCAAACUCUUGAUACUUUAUGUCUCUCUGAGUAAACUUUUAAAUAAGUCAAAACUUUUAACAA
rnacentral:misc_RNA from 1 species